rnacentral:rRNA from 1 species
GACGAACGCUGGCGGCGUGCUUAACACAUGCAAGUCGAACGGAAAGGCCCUGCUUUCGUGGGGUGCUCGAGUGGCGAACGGGUGAGUAACACGUGAGUAACCUGCCCUUGACUUUGGGAUAACUUCAGGAAAGUGGGGCUAAUACCGGAUAGGAGCUCCUGCUGCAUGGUGGGGGUUGGAAAGUUUCGGCGGUUGGGGAUGGACUCGCGGCUUAUCAGCUUGUUGGUGGGGUAGUGGCUUACCAAGGCUUUGACGGGUAGCCGGCCUGGGAGGGUGACCGGCCACAUUGGGACUGAGAUACGGCCCAGACUCCUACGGGAGGCAGCAGUGGGGAAUAUUGCACAAUGGGCGGAAGCCUGAUGCAGCAACGCCGCGUGCGGGAUGACGGCCUUCGGGUUGUAAACCGCUUUCGCCUGUGACGAAGCGUGAGUGACGGUAAUGGGUAAAGAAGCACCGGCUAACUACGUG